UGACCAGCCAUGCCGCGUGCAGGAAGACUCCCCUCUGGGUUGUAAACUGCUUUUAUCCGGGAAUAAACCUCAUUACGUGUAUUGAGCUGAAUGUACCGGAAGAAUAAGGAUCGGCUAACUCCGUGCCAGCAGCCGCGGUAAUACGGAGGAUCCAAGCGUUAUCCGGAUUUAUUGGGUUUAAAGGGUGCGUAGGCGGCCUGUUAAGUCAGGGGUGAAAGACGGUAGCUCAACUAUCGCAGUGCCCUUGAUACUGAUGGGCUUGAAUGGACUAGAGGUAGGCGGAAUGAGACAAGUAGCGGUGAAAUGCAUAGAUAUGUCUCAGAACACCGAUUGCGAAGGCAGCUUACUAUGGUCUUAUUGACGCUGAGGCACGAAAGCGUGGGGAUCAAACAGGAUUAGAUACCCUGGUAGUCCACGCCCUAAACGAUGAACACUCGCUGUUGGCGAUACACAGUCAGCGGCUAAGCGAAAGCGUUAAGUGUUCCACCUGGGGAGUACGCCCGCAAGGGUGAAACUCAAAGGAAUUGACGGGGGCCCGCACAAGCGGAGGAGCAUGUGGUUUAAUUCGAUGAUACGCGAGGAACCUUACCCGGGCUUGAAAGUUAGUGAAUGAUCCAGAGAUGGAUCAGUGA
rnacentral:rRNA from 1 species